CCUACGGGGGGCAGCAGUGGGGAAUAUUGGGCAAUGGGCGCAAGCCUGACCCAGCAACGCCGCGUGAAGGAAGAAGGCCCUCGGGUUGUAAACUUCUUUUAUUCGGGACGAAACAAAUGACGGUACCGAAUGAAUAAGCCACGGCUAACUACGUGCCAGCAGCCGCGGUAAUCCGUAGGUGGCAAGCGUUAUCCGGAUUUACUGGGUGUAAAGGGCGUGUAGGCGGGAGCGCAAGUCAGAUGUGAAAACGCAGGGCUCAACCCUGAGCCUGCAUUUGAAACUGUGUUUCUUGAGUGCUGGAGCGGCAAGCGGAAUGCCGUGUGUAGCGGUGAAAGGCGUAGAUAUACGGAGGAAAACCAGUGGCGAAGGCGGAUUGCUGGACAGUAACUGACGCUGAGGCGCGAAAGCGUGGGGAGCAAACAGGAUUAGAUACCCGAGUAGUC
rnacentral:rRNA from 1 species